AUGAAGCCAAAUGGACUAUAUCUCACACCCUUGGGUAUCUUAUUAUGAAGUUCUCCAAAUCAGCAAAGAAAGAAUUCUGUUGCUUUAAAGUGAGGAUACAAUGAGAAAGCCAUCUGUAAACCAGCAAGAGGACCUUCACCAAGAACCCAACCGUGCUGGCACCCUGACCUCAGACUUCCAACCUCCAGAGAGAUUGCCAUGAAAAUGAUGUUUGGGUCAAGUUGCCUGGAUUUAGCCAUUGGGAGUCCUUGGUUAUUAGUAGGAUCCUCGAGCGGUAGAAGGACGGAAGCCAGAUUGCGCAGACUUCAACAGGUGGCAGUGUAGCUAUUGAUAGAACACACGGAGAACACCACCUUGACCGGGUCUUGGCAGUGUUUCAGAAAGAGGUAAUCAGAGAAUAGGGACUUCCCUGGAGUCACAGUGGUUAAGAAUCUGCCUGUCAAUGCAGGGGACACGGGUUUGAGCCCUGGUCCGGGAGAAUCCCACAUAGCGCAGAACAACUGAGCUUGUGCACCACAACUACUGAGCCUGCGCUCUAGAGACCACGAGCCACAACUACUGAAGCCCGCGUGCUUAGAGCCUAUGCUCCGCAACAAGAGAAGUCACCACAAUGAGAAGCCUGCGCACCGCAACAAAGAGUAGUCCCCGCUCGCUGCAACUAGAGAAAAGCCUGAGCAGCAACGA